rnacentral:pre_miRNA from 1 species
UUAAUACUCCCUCCGUCCUAAAAGUCUUGUCUUGAAUUUGUCUAAUAUGAAUGUAUCUAGUCACGUUUUAGUAUUUAGAUACAUUCAUUUCUAGACAAACCUAACACAAGAAUUUUGGGACGGAGGGAGUACAUC